rnacentral:rRNA from 1 species
AGUGAACGCUGGCGGUAGGCCUAACACAUGCAAGUCGAACGGCAGCACAGUAAGAGCUUGCUCUUACGGGUGGCGAGUGGCGGACGGGUGAGGAAUACAUCGGAAUCUACUUUUUCGUGGGGGAUAACGUAGGGAAACUUACGCUAAUACCGCAUACGACCUACGGGUGAAAGCAGGGGAUCUUCGGACCUUUCGCGAUUGAAUGAGCCGAUGUCGGAUUAGCUAGUUGGCGGGGUAAAGGCCCACCAAGGCGACGAUCCGUAGCUGGUCUGAGAGGAUGAUAGGAGACACGGGAACUGAGAGAAGGUCCAGACUACUACGGGAGGCAGCAGGAGGGGAUAUUGGGCAAUGGGCGAAAGUCGGACGGAGAAACGGCGGGGGAGUGAAGAAGGCCUUCGGAUCGUAAAACGCUGUUAUGAGGAAAGAACAAAUGUGGAAGUAAAUAUGCAUGUAGUGACGGUACCUAAGCAGAAAGCAACGGCUAACUACGUG